UAGCGGCAGGCUUAACACAUGCAAGUCGAGGGGUAACAGGGUGCUUGCACCGCUGACGACCGGCGAACGGGUGCGUAACGCGUAUAGAAUCUGCCUUGUACAGGAGGAUAGCCUUUAGAAAUGAAGAUUAAUACUCCAUAAUGCUGAGAUGUGGCAUCACAAUUUAGUUAAAGAUUUAUCGGUACAAGAUGACUAUGCGUCCUAUUAGCUAGAUGGUAAGGUAACGGCUUACCAUGGCAACGAUAGGUAGGGGGUCUGAGAGGAUUAUCCCCCACACUGGUACUGAGACACGGACCAGACUCCUACGGGAGGCAGCAGUGAGGAAUAUUGGUCAAUGGAGGCAACUCUGAACCAGCCAUGCCGCGUGCAGGAAGACUGCCCUAUGGGUUGUAAACUGCUUUUAUACAGGAAGAAACAGUCGUACGAGUACGACCUUGACGGUACUGUAAGAAUAAGCACCGGCUAACUCCGUGCCAGCAGCCGCGGUAAUA
rnacentral:rRNA from 1 species